rnacentral:tRNA from 2 species
CCUUUGAUAGCUCAGUUGGUAGAGCGGGGGACUGUAGAUUUAUAAUUGUGAUCCCUAGGUCGCUGGUUCGAAUCCGGCUCGAAGGA